rnacentral:rRNA from 1 species
GACGAACGCUGGCGGCGUGCUUAACACAUGCAAGUCGAACGGAAAGGCCCCUUUGGGGGUACUCGAGUGGCGAACGGGUGAGUAACACGUGAGUAACCUGCCCUUGACUUCGGGAUAACUUCAGGAAACUGGGGCUAAUACCGGAUAGGAAUCCUUGCUGCAUGGUGGGGGUUGGAAAGCUGCGGCGGUUUUGGAUGGACUCGCGGCUUAUCAGCUUGUUGGUGGGGUAGUGGCUUACCAAGGCUUUGACGGGUAGCCGGCCUGAGAGGGCGACCGGCCACAUUGGGACUGAGAUACGGCCCAGACUCCUACGGGAGGCAGCAGUGGGGAAUAUUGCACAAUGGGCGGAAGCCUGAUGCAGCAACGCCGCGUGCGGGAUGACGGCCUUCGGGUUGUAAACCGCUUUCAGCAGGGGCGAAGCUUGUGGUGACGGUACCUGCAGAAGAAGCACGGGCUAACUACGUG